GAUGAAGAACGUAGCGAAAUGCGAUAAGUAAUGUGAAUUGCAGAAUUCAGUGAAUCAUCGAAUCUUUGAACGCACAUUGCGCCCCUUGGUAUUCCGGGGGGCAUGCCUGUUCGAGCGUCAUUAUAACCCUCAAGCCUAGCUUGGUGUUGGAGCAUGCUACCUAAGCAGCUCUUAAAAUCAGUGGCAGUGCCCUUCGGCUCUAAGCGUAGUAACUUCUCUCGCUAUGGAACCCGGAGGGUACGCGCCAGAAUCCCCAACUUUCUAUGGUUGACCUCGGAUCAGGUAGGGAUACCCGCUGAACUUAAGCAUAUCAAUAAGCGGAGGA
rnacentral:misc_RNA from 1 species